UGCCUGGGGCUCGCGGUGGGACGGCUGCGCUGGGCCGGCGGGCGGAGACCUGCCGCUGCCCCGCACUGGCUGUGUAGACGCGCAACCCCCGCCCCACAAGCCUCUACCCCCAGCUUUUCAAGUCAAGCUUCUGCUGCUUUUGAGCCAGUGUGGAGAGCAGAGGACAGGUUUGAUAUGCUCCCAGUAGCCUUCCAUAGUCCCCUAUUAAGAAUGAAGGAGAAAAUCAUGUGUUGUUCUUUGGGUGAAAAAUAAAUAAAUAAAACCAGAAAGAUUAUAAGCAAAGGCAAGAUUUAAUCUAUAAGGAGGCAGCAUUGCACUUGCUAGUUCCUUAAAUGGAUGAUAUGGCACACUGUGCGUGUGCGUAGUCACAGUAUAUGGUGCUUUAAAACAGACGUUGGAAGAAAAUCAUGGAGAAGUUUAGAAGAUAAAUGUCAUACAUUUGUACUGAGAUUUCUGUAGUGAAAAUAGACACCCCUCCCACCCCCAAAGUAGCUGCUAUUACUUUCGCUACAACUUCUUUCCUCUGGACUUCUAGUAGGAAUCCACUGCAUUUGAGUAAAGCAGAAAGACUGGAGGUGGAUCAUUGCUCUUGCCCUUGAAAAUGGCUUCUGAAGCAAGCAAGGCAGUUCAUAGCAUCAAAAUUAUUCGCUCUUUUGAACAUGCAGCUGGUUCCUUAUUCGGCCUCUCCAUAGUGCUAAAUGUUUCCCCUUAAACAACAUAGUCACCAUCAGAGCGUGGCAUGGGUUUGGUUUGGAUUGCGAGUUGUGGCUUUAACUGCAGACAGCAAGAGAGCCUCUUCAGAUCCUUACUUAGAAGCUUCCAUCAUAGAAUGCAUAUUACUCUAUAAACAGAAAUUUAAAGAUGCCAGACACUAGGUGGAAUGUUGUUGUAGAUUCUUCAU